rnacentral:rRNA from 1 species
GAUGAACGCUGGCGGCGUGCCUAACACAUGCAAGUCGAGCGAACCCUUCGGGGUGAGCGGCGGACGGGUGAGUAACGCGUGGGUAACCUGCCCUAUACACACGGAUAACGUACCGAAAGGUACGCUAAUACGGGAUAAAGUUGUUGGAUGGCAUCUUCUAACAAUCAAAGCUCCGGCGGUAUAGGAUGGACCCGCGUCGAAGUAGCUAGUUGAUUGGGUAAUGGCUCACAAAGGCGACGAUCAGUAGCCGACCUGAGAGGGUGAUCGGCCACACUGGAACUUAGACACGGUCCAGAAUCCUACGGGAGGCAGCAGUGGGGAAUAUUGCACAAUGGGCGAAAGCCUGAUGCAGCAACGCCGCGUGAGCGAUGAAGGUCUUCGGAUCGUAAAGCUCUGUCCUCAAGGAAGAUAAUGACGGUACUUGAGGAGGAAGCCCCGGCUAACUACGUGCCAGCCGCCGCAGUAA